rnacentral:lncRNA from 1 species
UUAGCAAAAAUGCCUACAGAGGCUGGAAGAUGCAACUCGUCCCUGAUUGCUGUUAAGUACAGUGGGAAGGAUGGUAUAGCUGUCAACUCUCCAAAACUGACUUCCUCUCCUUCGUGAACACGGGGCUGGCUGCCUUCACAAGGAACCAGACCCCAGUGUCCUUGACGGCAUGGAGAAGCUGGGGCUCAACAGUGAUGGACAGCUAGACUUCCAAGACUUUCUCAACCUGACUGGCGGCGUAGCUAUCACGUGUCACGAGUCCUUCCUCUGGACUUCCCAGAAG